rnacentral:lncRNA from 1 species
CAGUCACAACCACCUUUUGUCCCAGUUCCUCAGACCUAAUGAUUACAUUACCUAGGAGAGAUUGGCCAACUUGGGUAACCAUGACCACAUUUGUGGUGAGAAUCCUGUGACUGGCAGAAUCCUGUGACUACUAGAAGAGGGAGAAGUGACACUAGACAGACAACCAAGCUAGCUAUCCUCUAAACUCACCACAUCAGCUCAUCCUCCUACCACAGAAGAGUCUAUUCUCAAUGUAUUAAUACAUUCAUCCUAGCAGCCAGUGGGAGUAUAUGAAAAUGAAUUAGAAUCAGCAAAGAAGCAGCAGAAGAAACAGCAGAUACAGGAGGAGGAGGAGGAGGAAGAGAAGGACAUUCUAAUAAAAUCUUUUGGGUGUGUAUAACUUUCUGGGAGGGAGAGACACCAAGA